UGUACUAGAGCUCUGAGAUAAUUAAGAGUUACUGAUAAUUGGAAUAAUCUUAUUACUAUUCUAUCUGUCUGUGCUGACCUGUCUUGCAAAAGACCAGAUGCCAUGGCAUUUUCAUUUAUUUUAACACAGAUGGAGUCAGUCAAGACUCUUUAAAUCAGCUCUUUAUUGAAACCUAAUUCUGCGAAGAAUGUAUUUGGAGUCUCUUAACAGUGAUGCUGAGAGCAUGUGUGGCAGCCACUGCGGACAAUGAACUGAUUGUCGUGUUGGAAAAACAACAGAUGCAGAUGGAUGAAGUGCCUGGUCUUAACCCUCUGCAUGUUUGUGUGUGCGUACAUGAGAGAAGAUCCCAGGGUUAUCCAGAUCUCCAAUCAAAGAGAAAAAAGGACAAAACCCGUGAAUGAAAUGGUGCCUACACUUUGGCCAAAGGCUUUACGUAACCAGGCAGGGAGUUGCUGCAAGGACAGGGCUGUGCAAUCUCGACUGCAUGGGAUGGGCAGCAGGAAGGCAGUGAUGGUGCAGUGACAGUGCCCAGUGCACCUCUUCCAGGCUCAGCAUCACAGCCUAUCCACUCUGUGCAUCCCCAUUGCCUGGUGAGGAAACUGUGUAAGUCUGAAGACAAAGGUUUUCCUAAACGCUAACACCAACAAUGCAAAAUCAAGCAAAAUCCCACCCUGUUCUUGAAUAUUUUGGUUAAAACAGAAUCUGGGG